UACGUAGGGCGCAAGCGUUGUCCGGAAUUAUUGGGCGUAAAGAGCUCGUAGGCGGCUUGUCACGUCGGGUGUGAAAGCCCGGGGCUUAACCCCGGGUCUGCAUUCGAUGCGGGCUGGCUAGAGUGUGGUAGGGGAGAUCGGAAUUCCUGGUGUAGCGGUGAAAUGCGCAGAUAUCAGGAGGAACACCGGUGGCGAAGGCGGAUCUCUGGGCCAUUACUGACGCUGAGGAGCGAAAGCGUGGGGAGCGAACGGG
rnacentral:rRNA from 1 species